rnacentral:lncRNA from 1 species
AACCACACAAAUACAUAAAACAAGCAACAAACACAUCAAACAACAAUCCAAAAAUAUAGUGUCCAGUCCGAAUUAUACAGUCCCAAAGAUAAGAAAAUACGAAAAUAUAAAACUUAUUCUAGACUAAUCCUAAACUAUGCUCCAAUGCUUACCCAAAGCCUCGGGCCUUCAUCACAAACGUUUUCUGCCAGCAUAAUACGUUGGGGCAUCCCCCGGUGAAUAAAUAUAAUGUGUCUCGGGGCAUUCCCCGGCUAAAUGAAUACAUUUUUCAUAUGCAAAAAAAAUAAACCAUUCCACAAAUAUUUCAAGUACUCAAACAAUCCAUAAGUUCUAAAUUUGCCUACCCAAGCCUACUGCCUACGCUUUUGACAGUCUUGUCAUGAUACCACCGAGUUCGAUAACAUUAACAUUCAUUUCAAAUUCAAUAACAAUCGAAGAAUCAAAACACUACAAUAUUCACUUUAUCACCUUUCAAUUCCCAUCUUUCCCAAGUUAAAAUCUAUCCCCAAAUGAAUUCAAAUCCUUCAAUUACUCUAUUCAAAUGAAAUCAAUCAAUUAACAUCAACCACCAUCCAUAAUCCAAACAUAAUCAAAUCACAUGAAACAAUAUUCACGAGCCAUGAAUUUACCACACCAAAUAUUAAUAACUAAGCUCAAUUGAGCAGGGAUGAGAAAUGGACCUUAAUGACCUUCAAUGUAUUACUCAGUUAAACGAGACAGAAUUCGUGUCCAAAGCCUCGGGUUGAACCUCAAACAAAACUACCAGCUCGACUAUCUACCAAACCCGAAACGCAGAAUAUUCAUGAAAUAUAAUCCGAACAGCAAUCCACGGGCACGAAUAAACUAACCCGAGAAUCACAAAUCACAAGAAAAACUGUAAAACCCGUGUGCCUGUAGCUCCGACGAGCUCGGACGGUAACUAGAAUUGAUGAAACAAGUUAGAAUCCGGCGACCUUAACGUUCUCCGACGGAAUCUCAUCUAAAACCAAGAAAAAUGAAAAGAUUUUGGGGGAUUUUGAGGGCUGGGGGUUGUUUUUUUGCGUCGCCGGAGCUCCGGUGGGCUCAAACAGGCGAGAACCAAUGAGAACGGAUCGGAUUUCGACUUCUCUCAGGCGAAACUCGCCGGAGCAGUACCCCUUUUUCUAUUCUCUCCUUCUCUCUCAGAUCUCUGCUUUCUCUCUACCUCUCUCAAUUGAUCUCUCUUCGUUUCUUUCUAACUCGCGAUUUCCUUUUUCGAUCUCUCUCCCGUCUCCCAUUUCUCCAUUCUACUGUGUGUUGUGUGCUUAUUCAGUGAAGGAGUGUAUUCUUGCUGGAAUGGAAAUUAUCUGCCCCCUUUGGUAUUUUUGAGAAGAUGAGUAUAUGUACUAAAUCAAGAAGAAACAAAUCAAAGGGAAAAGUGGGGUUCCUCCG